GGCCUCGUGGCCUAGAAGUAAGGCGUUGGUUUCCGGUGGAGGAGACUCCAGGUUCGCCAAAGAUCGCGAGUGCAAAUCUCGCCGUGGUCG
rnacentral:tRNA from 2 species